GCAAACAUUGAAAUAUUGCUUUUUCCUGGCUGCUUAUUAAAGGAGAAAUUUGCCUACUGUGCUGGAAGAGUCUUUUAUUCAUCGUUCUGUUGAUGUGAAGCAUCCAACUUGAGGUGCUUGGUAUGAGACAUCUGCUGUUUGGAAAGAAGAGUUAUAACCCAGCUACAAGAACUAUUAUACUCCAGUGGUAGUAACAACCCAAAGGAUCACAGGAAGACGGUAAAUGUACUUCUGGUUGGCAGCAGCUGCAUCAUCAUAACGCUAAAAAGCAACCUUGGCUAACUUCAGUACC